rnacentral:rRNA from 1 species
AUGGCGGCGGCGAUCCGGUCCCUCCUCCGCAAGGCGGCGCCGUCCCUCGGCCGCGGGUCGCCGGCCCUCGGCCGCAUGUCGCCGGUGGUGCAGGGGCUUUCGCCGGCGGCGCGCCUCCUCUCAACGACGGGGGGACAAGUGGCUUAUUCUGAUGAUGAUAAAACGCUGGCCAAACAGCGUGAGGAAAUAAAGCGCAUGACUGCUGAGUUUGAUGCGAGCAUGCUGGAGAUCCGCAAGAAUUUGGAUGCUAUGGAUGAAAUUGAGAGGCGGAGUGCGGAGGACUAUGAGAAGUUCCGUAAGAAGCUAAACAAUAUUGAGAAAGCAUGCAAUGUUGCUUUGAUCGUGCUGGUGCCUAGCACUGUUCUGCUUUUUAUGUCACUGUAG